GUUUCCACUGAACAAAAUGAAAGCGUGUGUGCAUGCCGCCUCGGAUGACGCCGCUGACGCUGAGUGAGCUCUGCAUCUUUAAAACCGAAAAAAAAAAAAAUAAAUAAAUAAAUAAAUAACCGAGGCAAAACACACAACCAGCUCAGUCAUAAUUGUGGGAUGAUAAGGACUACCUCUUUUCACUUUUUGGAGAGAGCCAAGCCGUUAGGAGAGCAUUCAGCAUCAGCUGUUCAACACUGGUCUCUCAUUGCUGGAAGUCGGGGCUGAAUCGGUCACAUGACAGAACUGGAGGCAGAGAUCUAGAGAAAAAGGCACAGCAUUUCGGCUUGCACCGCCAUACUGUAUUUUGAGCCAUAUCACAUUUUUAUUGCAACAUUUUACUCCCGCUCGGAGGGAAACUAGAGGAGAAUGACUGGUAAAACCCAGACCAGCAACGUGACCAACAAGAAUGACCCACGCUCCCUCAACUCCAGAGUCUUUAUCGGCAACCUCAACACAGCCAUCGUCAAGAAGACCGACAUAGAAGUCAUCUUCGCCAAGUAUGGCAAGAUAGUAGGUUGCUCCGUGCACAAGGGUUAUGCCUUCGUACAGUAUUUGAACGAGAGAAAUGCCCGAGCAGCUGUGGCAGGAGAAAAUGCUCGUAUCAUCGCUGGACAGCCUCUUGACAUAAACAUGGCCGGCGAGCCCAAGCCUUACAGGCCCAAAGCAGGCUCCAAACGGCCGCUCUCAGCUGUUUACAGUGGUUAUGAAUUUGAUUACGAGUACUACAGGGAUGAUUUCUACAGCAGGCUUUUUGACUAUCACGGCAGAGUGGCCCCCCCACCCAGAGCUGUGAUCCCCCUCAAACGCUCCAGGGUGCUCGCUCCUUCCUCCCGCCGUGGGAAGACCUCCUUCCCCGUCAAAACAUCCUCCUCUUCCUCCUCUUCCUCCUCCAGACCUCCCACAUCAUCUUCCUCCUCCGGGCUCAAACCAGUGAAGACGGACCAGCUCCAGACUAUCAAACGGGAGCUGACUCAGAUCAAGAUGAAGAUCGACUCUUUGCUGGGACGCCUGGAGAAGAUCGAGAAGCAGCAGAGAGCCGAUUCUGAGCCUCAGAGAAAGUACGAAGAUAACUGCGACUCCCUGCAUGAGGAGUCUGUGUCAGAGACAGCAGAAAACUCCGGGGAGGAGGCCGGCGAGGGGGCAUUGGACGUGGAGGCGGGCGAGAUGACCGAUGGAGGCGAGGACGACUACGACGAGGAGGGCAGCCACCAUCUGCAAAUUCGUACAAUCAGAAGAGAAGGAGCAAUGCUGAUGGCUGAGAACAGUGACAGAGAUUACUGGCAGUAAAAUGUUUGAGAGAUGCUAAUAGAGAACCAUGUAUCGGAUAUUGACAACUGAGAUCAGGAUGAGGCAGCAGACACCCCCGAUCGGUGGUAUUAGAAUUCAUCAUCACCUUCAAGAGACAGAAAAGCAUCUCUGAGGGAUCAAGACACUCAUUCUGGACUGUAAGUUGUGUUCAAGAGAUGCUGAAUCACAUUUAGAUGCCCAACUGUGCAGCACAAACCAAAUGUGAUGUGCACUCUCAAGAAAAUUUAUUCAAGACCCAUUUUAAUGCAUUGGCCUGAGUUUGCCUCGUUCCGUGCAAUUUAUAUUUCAUUGCAAGAGGCUGACAGUAUCAUACGCUAAUCCUGUUCCUGAAAAAUAAAACAGAAGGGAAAGAAAUAAAGGGUUUUAUUCUGAUAAAUUGAAUUACGUGGAAGUAGGGGAACAUGAUGUUGCUGAUCAAUUGUUGCUGCUUUUAUGAAAUGUUUUUUUUGCGCUGUAAUCCACAAACUGAUAUUCAGUGAAUUUCUGUUGUUGCUCAAAAAUAGAAUAAAUAAAUGACAGUCGCUCAAUAUGAUGUAUGAUAUUCAGAAAAUGAAUGGUGCCGUCUGGUUCGGAUUUGACUCAUACAUAAGCCAAUAGCUGUGAGCAUAACUUUAUCCAGCUUUAUCCAUUUAUCACACAAAUGCCCUGUGGGGCUGUUCCAUCAUAUAUUCCAAAUCCUGCCAAGUUUCAGAAGCAGAAAGAGCUUCCUGUGGUAGAGAGCCAACACUGGCACAGGCCUCCUGCCAGGGAGCAGUGCCCUAACGUCUCAAUGUACUGCUCCCUGCUCAGCCUGUGCAUCACAACAUGGACUGCUGCUGUUUAGGAGCCAACGCCCGUUCUCCUCCUCCUCCUCCUCCACCUGCACUGUCUCCCUCUGCAUCCUGCAUUGAUUCUGUCUUUUGUAGGCAAGAGGUGCGGCAACGGUUUUUUGUAAACUGUAAAAGCUGUAUAAUGCUUUGAUAUUAUCUCACUAUGUGAUCCAUUAUUGAGAUUGCUUAAAUUUCUCAAUAAAUACAUGACGCAACGGCUGACGACUGCCUAAAACCACUUAAAUAAGUAUUGAGAAAACACAAAACAGCAACCCAUUACUCCUUUAAAGUCCCCCUCCAGUCAAAAAUGUGUUUCUCUUCUUGUUCUGUCAGUUGAAUGUUUGAGUGUCAGUGUGCAGUCUGACACUGUAGGGCUGUUUUUAGAUUUCCUCUGUGCUCACUGAAAAGCAGAUUUUAAAGAGGCGGCGCUUACGAGCGUGAUCUGUGUCAUCACAGUUCAGCAUACACAAAUGUCAUGUGGAAACCUGAAGCCUCCAGUUCACAUAUACAGAGAAUGGACUUUACAGUAAAGUAAGAGACAUCUUGUGUCUAACAGUUUAAUUUGUGGAAUGAAAAGUAUUUGCAUCAUAUUCAUAUGUUCUGGGGAAGAAAUGGGUGCCAUUUAUUCAAUUGUUGUAAAAUUAAAUAUAAAUUAUAUUAUUAAAGAUUUUAUGCAGUAUGUUGUAAUAAAACUUUUUUUUUUCUGCAAAAACCAUGUCAGACACACAUGAGAGUUUGUCUUCUGCCUUAACAUCUAUAUGAAGGGGAUGUUAAAUAAAAUAUCCAUUAAAGCCAAAA